rnacentral:ncRNA from 2 species
CAAUUUUCAAACCAUACAGGUGCCGAGAUUCGGUUAAAAGGGAAGCACGGUGUAAUUCCGUCACGGUCCCGCCGCUGUAAGAGAAUAGUCUUUUUAAAAUAUGUCACUCGGGAAAUCGGGGAAGGCUUAAAAAGAUGAUGAAGCUCGAAGUCAGAAUACCUGCCUGUAAAGGACUAAGCCU